CCUACGGGAGGCAGCAGUGAGGAAUAUUGGACAAUGGGCGCAAGCCUGAUCCAGCCAUGCCGCGUGCAGGAAGAAGCAUCUAUGGUGUGUAAACUGCUUUUGUACAGGAAGAAACACUCCCUCGUGAGGGAGCUUGACGGUACUGUAAGAAUAAGGACCGGCUAACUCCGUGCCAGCAGCCGCGGUAAUACGGAGGGUCCGAGCGUUAUCCGGAAUCAUUGGGUUUAAAGGGUCCGUAGGCGGUUUAAUAAGUCAGUGGUGAAAUCUGGUCGCUCAACGAUCAAACGGCCAUUGAUACUGUUAGACUUGAAUUAUAAGGAAGUAACUAGAAUAUGUAGUGUAGCGGUGAAAUGCUUAGAUAUUACAUGGAAUACCAAUUGCGAAGGCAGGUUACUACUUAUGGAUUGACGCUGAUGGACGAAAGCGUGGGGAGCGAACAGGAUUAGAUACCCUGGUAGUCCACGCCGUAAACGAUGGAUACUAGCUGUUCGGAGCAAUCUGAGUGGCUAAGCGAAAGUGAUAAGUAUCCCACCUGGGGAGUACGUUCGCAAGAAUGAAACUCAAAGGAUUGACCGGNUGAGACNGCGAGACGACGACGAGGGAGGAGG
rnacentral:rRNA from 1 species